UACGUAGGUGGCAAGCGUUGUCCGGAUUUAUUGGGCGUAAAGCGCCCGCAGGCGGCUCAGCAAGUUUCAGGUGAAAUCUCCCGGCUCAACUGGGAGGGGUCUUGGAAAACUGCUGGGCUUGAGGCAGGGAGAGGGAUGCGGAAUACCAGGUGUAGUGGUGAAAUGCGUAGAUAUCUGGUGGAACACCAGUGGCGAAGGCGGCAUCCUGGCCCUGUCCUGACGCUCAGGGGCGAAAGCGUGGGGAGCAAACCGG
rnacentral:rRNA from 1 species